GAGCACGUAGGUGGGUUUGUAAGUCAGAUGUGAAAGCCUCCUGUUCAACGGGAGAAUUGCAUCUGAAACUGCAGAUCUUGAGUGUAGGAGGGGAGAAUGGAACUUCUGGUGGAGCGGUGAAAUGCGUAGAUAUCAGAAGGAACGCCGGCGGCGAAAGCGAUUCUCUGGCCUAUUACUGACACUCAGUGUGCGAAAGCUAGGGGAGCAAACGGGAUUAGAUACCCCGGUAGUCCUAGCCGUAAACGAUGGGCACUAAGUAGAGGGAAUUACCGAUAUUCUCUCUGCCGUAGCUAACGCAUUAAGUGCCCCGCCUGGGGAGUACGGCCGCAAGGCUAAAACUCAAAAGAAUUGACGGGGGCUCGCACAAGCGGUGGAGCAUGUGGCUUAAUUCGAUGCAACGCGAAAAACCUUACCGGGGCUUAACAUGGUAGAAGUAGGAACCCGAAAGGGUAACGAACGGUAUCCAGUCCGUAACUAUUACAGGUGUUGCAUGGCUGUCGUCAGCUCGUGUCGUGAGACGUUGGGUUAAGUCCCCUAACGAGCGAAACCCUUGUUUUUAGUUGCCAGCGGGUUAUGCCGGGCACUCUAGAAAGACUGCCGUCGUCAAGACGGAGGAAGGUGGGGAUGACGUCAAGUCAUCAUGGCCCUUAUGCCCCGGGCUGCACACGUGCUACAAUGGUCGGUACAAACGGAAGCGAAGCCGAGAGGUGAAGCGAAUC
rnacentral:rRNA from 1 species